CUCUGGUUCAGGCAGCUGCUAUAUAACAGUCUCUGGGGGACAGUCCCUCCCUUUUUCCUGCGGAGAGUCGGAGAUGGUGGCUCAACUAGUGGGAACUAUGGAGAUAAACUUCAUGGUGAUAUCCUGGAAGUUGUGCAGAAUAAUUAAGCCCUUCAUGAAAACAUCAACAGUUCUAGAAGACUAUAUGAUGUACAGUUGUGGAUGUUCCUGAAUAUUUAAGGCAGAAUGUGACUUAUUAGCAAGUAUCCAGUGGAUAAUGACUCAAUGAAUGAAUAACUGACAGCGCAGUUGGGAUAUAAAACUACUUGCAACUCUAGUACUACUAAAACAGAGAUCUCUGAAGGCUGACUCAAUAUUAAAGUGAAAUGGUGGAAAAUGUAGGAGCAGAUGCAUUUAGUUAUUCAGUGAUGAGGUGGAAUUUUUGUAUCACUGGAAGAAGUCUGACACCUGAAGAUACCCAGAUACCAAGAUUUUAACAACAAAAAAUGUUACCAGGUUUAUGCUUCUGAAAUAGUUUGUGGGAUUGUUUGGUUGUUAAUAUUUCUGAAACUUCACAUGGCACAGAACCAGUCGGUCUCUGCUUCUCUUAAAACAGUGAGAAAUCAUGUUUUGUGGAAAUCUAAAGAUCUUUCCAAAUUUUUAGACCCAGCUCCCUCUAGUGAAACCAAAGCUGUCUUAUAAUAGGGAAACUGCAUGUGGGAUCAAAGAAGAGAAAAUUCAGUUUUGCUAGAAUCAGUCAGAUUUAACAUCUUCUGUUUUCUGACAUGACUUAUCAGGAGAUUAUGGUGGCUGAAGGGAAAUAGAGCAUACUUUAAAAGUGUAGCAUAAAAUCUAUUUUUUCCCACUGUUUAUCAGGAGAGGCUCCCCUACUCAGUAAAGAAAAUAUUAAGGGCAACAAACAAGCUUGGGGGAUGGGGGUUGGGAAAAAACUCCCAGUGGCUAGCCAGUUUCCUCUGAAGGAGAUAAAAGCACAACAAAGAAAUAAAGCACACUUUGAUAUUACUAGGGAAAUGUGUAUGCCCUGAACAGUAAUAAAAUGGGCAAGGGAAAACCCAGGCACCCUGUGUAGAAAGAUGGCGAGAGUACCAAUUAAUGUAGAAAAUCAUAGUAAUGAGGCUUCCCCCUUUUGAGUGCAAUUUCAUUCAGGAAGUGAAAGAGGAAUGUCAGGUAGUGGUAUUAAUCAAUGAAGGCAUUGAGGAAGCAAAAUAUCCGACAUUUGUAAGAAAGCAAAAUUCACCAGUCAUCGUAGGAGUUGUGGUCACAAGAGAAAACUAGACUUAAACCACAGCCUGGGUUCUGUUUAUGCUGAUGAGGAAAGAAGUUGGUUUUUAUGCACCGCUGCCCAACCGCAUGAUAAGACCAAUGCAUUGGUGUGGAACUUUUUUUUUUUUUUCUCUCUUGAGCAGAAAGCAUUGCUACCCUCUGUUUUGUGUGGAAGAGAGGCACACCUGGCAACUUCUGCUUUAAGAAACCUCUUGAAAAAUAACCAUGCCAUAAUGUGGGAGAAACAUCUCUGCUGCAUUCAACAACUAAGCCUUAAUGCAGUAGGGAAAGAGAUGGAGGAGACAGAUCAUAACAUCUGAUAAAGUAGGGUCCACAAAUACUCCAGUCAGUGGCAUAACAUCCAGUAUGCCUUUUAGUGUUAGGAAGGGAAGCACAAUGAAAAAAGAUACACAGGCAAACUACCCAGCGCCUGACACAACCUACACUUAAAGACACAUCAAACUAUAAGGAAAAACCAUCCUACAAUCCCCAUGCUUAAUACAAAACUGCCACUAAUGCUAGUAGUGGAUCUGCAGCCCUUUUCAUUUGGCAAGGCACUAAGGGAAUAUACCAUUCCCAAGUGGCAAAUACCUAGCAAAACCUACUUUUUUGGCUAAGGCAAUACCAUAGUUGUACAAAACUCAUAUUGCAGUGUCCAAGGCAUUGAGGAUGUCAACGGUGAGGAAGAUCCAUCUGACCACUGAAAUGUGGACUAGUGGUCAGACCAUGGACUGUGUGUCAGCUCAUUGGGUAGCUCUUCCUGUUCAGUUACCUA